GAGAAGCUGGUUUGGAGAAGGACCCAUAGCUUAGCUUUGGAGAUGUGAAAUUUGCAAUCCUUGUUAGACAUCCAAGUGGAGAUAUCGAGUAGGCUACAUGAUAUAUUUUUAUGGGUCAGGGAAGACAUCCUGGUUAGCGAUAUGGACUUGGAUGAUAUCAGCACAUCACCUAUGGCAUGACUAUAGAAAGAAAUAAAGAAGCUCAAGAAGCUCAAGCGCUGAAGCCUGGGGUACUCCAACAUUUAGAAGACAGAAAAAUAAGGAGAAAAAGGCAAAAAAAGAGACUGAGAAGGAGCAUUUAGAAAGGUAGGAGGAAAACCAGGUAAGUAUAGUGUCUUUGAAGCCAAGAGGAGAAACAGUUUACAGAGAAGGGUGUGAUUAGCUGUGUGUCGAGUGCUAUUGAGAUUUUAAGUAAGAUAAAAACUGAGAAUAACCACUGGAUUUAGCAACAUGGAAAUUAAAGGUGACCUUGACCAGUACAGUUUCAGCAGAGUAGUGAGGGGUCAAAGCCUAAUUGGGGUAGAUUCAGGUGAAAACAGAAGAAGAGAAAUUACAUUUUUAAAUUUUAAGAUAUUUUGCAGUAAUGGGGAGGAGGAAAUUGGGGUCAAGAGAGGUUUUCUUUCUUCCUUUUAGGAUGGGAGAAAUAACAGACUAUUUGCAUGCUUUCAGAAAUAUUCAGAAGAGAGAGGAAUAUUGAUGAUACAGGAGAGGAGAAGAAUUGCUAGAGUGAUGUCUUUGAGCAUGUUUUGGGGAUAUGGUAGCAUAAGCCAUCUGGCAGCAGUGAUGCAGACACCGGUCAGAUACUGGGAAGGCCACGUAAGCAAGUGACUGAACCAAGGAUGUAGAAUGAAGGCUGGGAUCAGGGCUGUAGGCUGAGGUCCGAGCCCAAGUCAGGAACGUGCAGGCCCAGCACAAGUAAGCAGGAGGCCCCGUCAGAGGAGUAACCAGAGACUCUGUCCUGUAGGUUACUGAGUCAGGAUUCGCCCGAGAAACAGAACAUAUAGGAUACAAGAGGAGAUUUAUUGUGGGAAUUGACUCACACAUUUAGAGGCUGAGAAGUCCCAGAGUAUGCCAUCUUGCAAGCUGUAAAAUGAGGGAAGCCAGCAGAAUAGCUCAGUCUAAGUCUGAAGGCCUGAGAAACAGAGCAGCUGACCAUGUAACUCUCAGUCCAAGCCUGAAGGCCUGAGAACCUGGGAUGCCACUGGUAUAAGUCCCUAAGUUGAAGGCCAGGGAACCUGGAGUUUCAAUGUCUGAGGGCAGGAGAAGACAGAUGUCCCAGCUCCAGAAGAGCGACAGUGAAUUCACCCUUCCUCUUCCUUUUUGAUCUCUCCAGACCCCCAAGCCACUGAAUGGCACCCACCCACAUUGGGGAGGACAGAUCUUUACUCAGUCUAAAGAUUCUAAUGCUAAUCUCUGUCACAGAUGCAUCCAGCAAUAAUGUUUUACCAGCUAUGAGGUUAUCCCUUAACCCCGUGAAGUUGACACCUGAAAUUAACCAUUGCAGUUACAAUGAAGUCAAGGCAAAGGUGAAUGGCUAAAGGAAGUGUGGUGAUAC
rnacentral:lncRNA from 10 species